UACAGAGGGUGCAAGCGUUGUCCGGAUUUAUUGGGCGUAAAGCGCGCGCAGGUGGUGCGGUAAGUCUGCCGUGAAAUCUCCCGGCUCAACUGGGAGGCUGCGGUGGAGACUGCCACACUCGAGGUACCUAGAGGUCGGUGGAAUUCCCGGUGUAGUGGUGAAAUGCGUAGAGAUCGGGAGGAACACCAGUGGCGAAGGCGGCCGGCUGGGGGUGACCUGACGCUGAGGCGCGAAAGCGUGGGGAGCGAACUG
rnacentral:rRNA from 1 species